GAAGGCGAGAGACCCCGAGGAGGGGGGACCCCCGCGGGGCUGGAGGGCGGCGGGGGGCAGAGGAGCGGACCCCCCGGCUCGCAGCGCCUGCCCCGGUUUGCCCAGCCUCUGCCGCCAGGGAGGGCAGCUCCCCACCGGCCGCGUGUCCCGGGGCGCCCCGCUGCUUGGAGCCACCUGGGCUGGGCAUUGGCCUCCGGCAGGUCCCGCGCUUCCUUUCCGCCCGGGGCUGGAUAUGUGGAUGCUCACGCGAAGAUGGAUUUAGUCUACGGGCUGGUGUGGCUGCUGACGGUGCUGCUGGAGGGGAUCUCCGGCCAAGGGGUGUACGAACUCUUCACUGGUGAGGUGAAUGUGUCCAAUGGCUCAUGGCUGUGAGAUCAGAGGAGAGGGAAGAAUCACAACUGUACAACCCCCGCCCCCCAGCCCCUGCACACAAACACACCCUAUCCAUUUUCUGGAACUCUUUUGGUGAUCCUGGGCUGGAUUUUGAUUUUGCAAGAAAACAGAAAACCAGGUAGGUGGCUUCAUGCUGUGGUUAUGGUCAGCCUGGAUUCAUAUUGUGAAUACUUCCCACAGCUCUAACAAUUUCAUUCUUCCCACCCACCAUUCCCGUAGUUUUAAUGGGAUAGGCUAUUCUUUGCUUCUAAUAGACUAAGCACAGGGCUGAGAACUAGAGACCUGGAGUCUAUUCCUGACUCCGCCACUGGCUCUAUAUGUGGGCAAAUCCUCUGUGCCUUGGUAACUCCAGUUGUAAAAUGGAAAUGAUAUGUUUACUUGUAAUAUUAUUCAGACGCUAAAUGCCUCUGGGGGCUGAAGAGAGUUCCAGAGAGAAUGUGCUCAUUGGUAAACAAAGAAGACAAAGCAGGAACUAGAACUGUGUGGAAGCAUGUUUGAUUCUGGCUGUAGCUGUUUUCUUCGAUAAAUGCCUCCUAUCUAAUAUGCUGUGUGAUUCCAUUUAUUUUUAUUAUGUUCUCAGAUUUACCCUUGAAACAACACUUCUUUAGUUAUCCUAGAUGUAAUUUUCUAUUAGCAUCUUUUCACUGGCAUUGCUAUAAAGUCAUAUAGUGCAGUUUCAUUUCUUUGCUUAAAGUGUUGCAUACAUGCACAGCUAGACUAAAAAUCAGAGUGUAUUAAAGGAGCCUGACAAGAUGUAUUUUAUUUCUAGAUUUCUUUGACUAAUUCAAAGAUGGCUAGUGCCUUAGCAUUAGGGGAAAUGGUGCAUUAUGCAGCCCUGUAGGGAAUCUACUGUACAAGAGACUGACAUCAAUAAUUUCAACAUUAUGCUGUCAUCUUUUAAAGAAACCAUUGAACUGUAGAUUUAGAUUAGCAUUUGCCGCUGAAGUAUUGUUAAGUGUAGACCUUGAUACGGACAAAG
rnacentral:lncRNA from 1 species